AGAGAAAACUUCUGAAAAAGCUGGCAGAGUGGUGGCUUUGUUUUGUUUUCUGUUCUGUUUGGUAUUUCAUCUGUCAGAAGAGCUGUGGUUUUGUUUUCAUGAGAGACUUUGUCUUCAUAAAGGCUCUGAGCACAGGACAGCAGGGGAGGGCUGUGCCUGCAAUGUGGCUGGGAGGUGCAUGUUGCAGGCAGCUCAGUUCCUUUCCCUUAGCAGAGAUGGGAGUGAGCUUUAAUCAAACACUGCUUUAAUCAACACCUGCUUAACUCUAAGCAGAAUAAGUGCUGCCUGUAUUAGGAGAAUAAGCUGCCAUAUUCCAGUCUGUUCCAAGUGGGAAAAGGAGCCUGGUGCUGCCUCUGCCUGUGACCUGAAAAUUCACCCUCAUGUGCGUAUUCCAUGGCUGGAUGAAGACCACUUUGGCACAGGUGAUGCAGGGGAAGGACACACUAUUGCAUUCUGAAUCAAGAAAAGCAUAACAUACUGGAGGAUGUGCUUUUUUUUUGUCCUCUCUUUGAACAUCACAGUCAGCACUCACUUCCCUGCCUUCCUCUUCUUUUCCUUAAUAUCAGAGUGGCCCUCAAUAAGCCAUUGUGCUCUGUGCCUCUGGGUGGUGUUUGGUACAAGCUGAAGAAAAUUAAACUUUGGUGGCAGCAUAAUUCAAUGUCCUGUCAUUGCACAGUGUGUGCAUGGGUACCAGGCUCCAGCCAUUCCCUGCAGUGUGGCCACUCUGUCACUCUGCCCAUUUCCUCCUGCAGUGACCUCAAGCACGAGUGCUGUUGUAACAAGCAGGUAAUUUAGACAUUCAGAGAAAUUUAGGAGAGGCAUGCCAGGGGACUGGGGACUCUAGGCUGAGACUUCACAGCCAUCAAUUAAAGAUCAUAAGGUUAUUGUACUUUUCUAGUUUUAACUAAUUACUUGCUUAAUUUCUACCUUCUAAUUUAUGUCCUUCUGUCUUUAGGUAUACAUCAUAUACAUGUCUAAUGCAAUUUACUGCAAUAUAUUUAUCACAUUAUGGAAGAGUGUUAUCUUCAUCAAUUACAAGAAAAAAAAGCCCCUAGAAUUAAUAAGGGGAUAAAAGCUAAAUUUGUAUUUUGGUGGACUCUUGAAGGCUUAUCUCCAUGGGAAAGCUGUGUGUAAAUCUGCAGUGUUUCAUCUGGCUUGUGUUAAGUCCUAAGUUUGGAUCUCAAUUCUAUGGGGUUCAGAGAAGCCUCAGUUGUCUGCAGCAGCUGCAGAGCUACAUGGCCUGUGUUGUCCAGCAGAGAUUUGGUGGCUGCUCCAUGGACAGACAAAGCUUUCUUGCAGGGGAGAAGCUGCAGCCCCGAGAGCAGCUGCAGAAAGCACAGGUGCUGUGCUACUGCUGACCAUCCUGCUCCCAAGACAGAACCCUGCACCAACCCUUUCAUCUGUGAAAGGAGGGUUGUACAAGCUCACGGUACCUACGGAGUCUGUCUGUCUGCAUCACUUUCAUGUGUUUGUGAAUUGCUAAUGAAGCUAUGUGGGCCUCAAAGCAUGCAGAGGGUUCCCCUGCCCUGGGUUUUAUCAGAAACACGUGAAGCCCUUUGUCUUGCCCUUUGUGAAAACAGAAUGUGGAAGAACCCAAGAAGAUGACAGAAACUAGGAAGGUAUGGAGGGCUGAUCCCAAAAAGGACCUAUGCACAUAAUGUGGCUUUUAACUGAAAUGAAGGUGCCUGAAUGCAAACCUGCAUUCCUGAAGGUGUCCACCCCAUCCUGUGUUUCACAAACUUUUGAUUUUAACAUUCCCCAAUUGUGCAUCUGCUUUUGCUCAGGAACACCUCGGUCCUGAGAAAGCUGAGCAGAGUGAGACCCACCUCAUCUUCAACCCAGGGACUGCACUCAGGGCUCAUUCCCCAGAGACAUCCAUGCUGCUGAGGGUUGGCAUGGCAGGCUGGCAGGUGGAAUCCAGACAGAGUGGGAUGGAGACCUUGCUUUUCUUCUGAGAUUUGGCAGGGACAGAUGCCUUCUGUACAACAGCAGCUGGUUGGGUCACUACCCUUCACUCUCAGGGCUCUCCAUCCACAGUGACUCAAACCCACACCUCCCCCAGGCACCAAGUUAAAACCAGGCUGAUCUGAAAUGGCACCUUAGCUCAGCCAUCAGCUGAGGACAAACUCAGUUGUGCCAUGUCCCAAGUUAUACCAGGCCCAGGAUCCACACUCACACUGGAUUCCCUUUGUGGCAGUUUCUGGUGCUGUCACUGUCUUUGAUCACCCACCACAUCCUUGCAGUCAAAACAGCACAAACCAGAGGAAAUUCCAGUCCACUAAAUGUCUUAUGGAUGCUUCAGCUUAUCAAGCAAAUAAGAAAGCAGUGAACCAUCAGAAUUAGAAUCUUAUAUAGAUAAAUAUGACUCCAUAUGUAUGUCUUUCCUUCUGCAGCCCUUUUCUUAUGUUUUCCUGAAAGCAGACUAAUUAUUUAACUUGGGUGGCAUGUGUUUGUUGCUACAUAGUUCUAGAAAAGGUGCCAGAAUCCUGUAAUAAAUUAUUUCUCUGAAAUUUUAAAUAUCUGGGCAGCUAACUGUCAAGGAUUUUCCAUGCACAGAUGGGAACUGCAGAGCAGCAGAUCUGUGGGGUCUGAAUCUCAUGCAGCACAAAAGGAGCCCUUUCAUGUUACAUGAAAACACCCUGCAGUGUUUGAAAUUAAUUCCUUUGGAUCAGGGGGAAUCAAUUUUGGUCAAAUUGCCUUCAAUCAAAUGACUAAUGGUUUUGUUAAAAAUCUCAUUGUCAGUCUUGAAGAGAGAUGUUGAUGUGGAUAAGCUAUGCUGAGCUUCCCUUUGCUCCCUCACUGCUCAUGGCUUGAGAAAACUCUUCAGAAAAAUAUCCCAUGCAGCAUAUUUUGAUGUUAUCACAUGUUAGCACAUUUCAUCCAGAGCUAUCCAAUCUGAUUUUAAAUUGCAUGUAAAACUUCAACUAAAUAUAAUCCAGAUUUCAUAUUGUUUUAUUAUUUUCUUCCUCUAUACCUGUUCCCAGAGUGCAUUCAAUAAGACCGUAUUGUUCCUUCCUCUGCCAUGAAUAUUCAUUAUAUUCAGGUUUUCAUUUUGGGAUCUGGGAUGGGCAAAGCUAGUGAGGUUUCUUUCUUGUGAAAUCUGUUUGAUCAGGGGAGUUGUGGUUUCUUAAUUCUCUAAAAUUCAACACCGGGCCAAUUUCACUUUUCUUUAUCUGAUCAGAUUUUGGUGUGGUGUUAGAUUAAAAAGAAAUGCCAUUGUGGAGUGCAGCAUCUGAGAUUUAAAGAAAGAAUUACUUCUGUUCAGUUGUAAUGAACAUUAUUUGCCCUUUGUGUGCAGGUCUUCUAUUAGAUCCAGCAGCUUUUGCCUUAGAUAAUAAGGAAGGGAUUAUGUGACAGAUAAGUUGAUUACUCAAUAAUUCCCCAGGAAAAAAUUCUGAAGCAAAUUCAGGUGAUAAACACCAUCUGUGUGGGGGAGAACCGUCUGUGAAUGGGUAUGGUAAAUCUCUUAUAUGUGUGUGUGCAAUAUGUUCUCCAUAUC